UAUUGGUCAAUGGGCGCAAGCCUGAACCAGCCAUGCCGCGUGCAGGAAGACGGCUCUAUGAGUUGUAAACUGCUUUUGUACUAGGGUAAUUUGCGGUACGUGUACCGUAUUGAAAGUAUAGUACGAAUAAGGAUCGGCUAACUCCGUGCCAGCAGCCGCGGUAAUACGGAGGAUCCGAGCGUUAUCCGGAUUCAUUGGGUUUAAAGGGUGCGUAGGUUGUUUUAUAAGUUAGCGGUGAAAUACCGAUGCUCAACAUCGGGGCUGCCGCUAAUACUGUAGGACUAGAGAUCGGAUGCAGCAGGCGGAAUGUGUAGUGUAGCGGUGAAAUGCAUAGAUAUUACACAGAACACCGAUUGCGAAGGCAGCUUGCUAGGCCGGAUCUGACACUGAUGCACGAAAGCGUGGGGAUCGAACAGG
rnacentral:rRNA from 1 species